rnacentral:rRNA from 1 species
GUGGGGAAUAUUGGACAAUGGGCGAAAGCCUGAUCCAGCCAUGCCGCGUGUGUGAAGAAGGUCUUCGGAUUGUAAAGCACUUUAAGUUGGGAGGAAGGGCAGUAAGUUAAUACCUUGCUGUUUUGACGUUACCGACAGAAUAAGCACCGGCUAACUUCGUGCCAGCAGCCGCGGUAAUACGAAGGGUGCAAGCGUUAAUCGGAAUUACUGGGCGUAAAGCGCGCGUAGGUGGUUUUGUAAGUUGGAGGUGAAAUCCCCGGGCUCAACAUGGGAACUGCCUCCAAAACUGCAUGACUAGAGUACGGUAGAGGGUAGUGGAAUUUCCUGUGUAGCGGUGAAAUGCGUAGAUAUAAGAAGGAACACCAGUGGCGAAGGCGACUACCUGGACUGAUACUGACACUGAGGUGCGAAAGCGUGGGGAGCAAACAGGAUUAGAAACCCGAGUAGUCC